rnacentral:rRNA from 1 species
GAGAUUCCCCCAGUAGCGGCGAGCGAACGGGGAGCAGCCCAGAGCCUGAAUCAGUGUGUGUGUUAGUGGAAGCGUCUGGAAAGGCGUGCGAUACAGGGUGACAGCCCCGUACACAAAAAUGCACAUACUGUGAGCUCGAUGAGUAGGGCGGGACACGUGGUAUCCUGUCUGAAUAUGGGGGGACCAUCCUCCAAGGCUAAAUACUCCUGACUGACCGAUAGUGAACCAGUACCGUGAGGGAAAGGCGAAAAGAA